AUGACGUUAGAGAACCGUGUUUGCAUCUUCCACAUGCGAUCAUUCUCCUCCUUGGCAUAGUCACAGAAUCCCCCGAAUCUUAUAAUAUUUCAGUGAAGGUAAGAACAUAAAUAUAUGUCCUGCGCUGCAUUUAUCGCACAAGAUCUCGUUUUCAAAAGAGCAGCCCCUAUUUCCCUGCAGUGUAACAGCGCUCAGUAUUAGCAACAAUCCUAUUUUUGAAGUCUUGGAGUCUUGGUGCUGUUCAAAUCUGUCCGUGCAUUCCCUAAUUUUCCUUUGACUCCAGACUCUGAAAACCUGCCUUCCGAGGGCACAGCCAGGCUCUUGCUGCCGCUCCAUCCUCCCUCCAGCGGCUCGGUCGCUGGCCUGGGUGCGGUGACGGGUACCCAGUGCGCUGCUGCUCCGGUCGCUGCCCGAAGGGGGCGAUGGCGAGUCAGGGGCGCGGACCGCGAGGAGGGUGGCAGGGCGGGUCCCUGGGGUGCGAGGGGCGGAGGUGGGCUUCCGCCGCUCUCCCAUGAGCCCGGGCUGCAGCCGGCCCCCCACGCCGCCGCCCUCCCGGCGCCCCGUGACACUCCCAUCGCCACGCAGGUAGAGCCAAGCUCGCGCCACGAGAGACUCGGCCAACUGCGCAGCAGCGCCGCGCACCGGAAAUCUCUGAAUAUUGCGUUACUACAUCUAGGUUAUUUUUCUAUCCUAGUUCCAUGUAAAAGGACCGAGGGCCACAACCUGGCAGAAGUUGGCAUCGUUGUCCCAGCUCAGCACAGGUAUGAGUCGGCAUAGCACAGAGCAUGCGCCUACCUGAUGUGGUCCUUACACACCUUACCUACCAGCCACCUCCUGGCCAAUAAAACAGCAAAAAGCUUGCAGAGAAAGUUCACCGAAAUGGAUCAGUGGUUUGAAAGAGGUUCUUCAAAGGUAAAGUAAUGAUGAAAAUGGCAGAACCAUCCUCAGAAGAACACGCAGGAUUCUCCGAAGGACUCUGUUUUUCUCUCUUCUCUCUAUCUCUUACAUCCUCACUCACUUGAUUCCCAACUCCUGAAAGAGACUGAACAGGGGUCACCACUGCCCCAGUAGAAAGUAGAGUAACAGUGCAACAGAGACUAGCAGCUGUGAUUCAGGACCACGAACAGCUCCACAUGGGCUCCACCUGGUCCAGACAGGUUUGGCUCCUGUUGCUGGAGUACGUGGAUCUACACCAGCACUUGUGCUGUGAAUUAUGACAACCCUCCUCUCGGGGGCUGGAAGAUGGCUCUGAAAACCAAAAAUACUCAGAACUACUUUCCAUUUGGACCUAUGCAUGGGGAAAGGUGCAGAAGUUCAUGGAGGAGUGCCCCAGCAAGGGACACCCAGAGCCGAGCCCAGUACAGGGCUGAGCCUUUUCUACUGGCCUGUCUGCGGCACCCAGGAGAAAAAAUGAGUCCAGGAAUUAAGGGAUAGAAGUAGGAUUGGGUCCUCUCACUCGUAUACCUCAUAACCUGCUUGCAGAAUUUUUGCUUCCCAUCCCGACAACUCUGAGCUCUGUGGGUUUGGAGGCUGUGGUUCCCAAGAGAGAUGUGCUUCCACUAGAGGAUACAACUAGAGUUGUAUUAAAUUAAAUUCCACUCAACUGGAAGUGGGAGCUACUACCAGCCAUUUUGGUCUUCCUGCCAUUAAACCAAGAAAGGGUUCCAUGUGGCCCCAAGGCUAAUUGAUCUUGAUUACGAGGAGAAAUUGGUUUGCUGCUACACAGUGGAGUCAGGGAGAGUGAGAUCUGAAACCUAGAGGAUGUCCCGGGAUGCCCCUUAAUACUUCACGUCCAAUCGUAAAAAUUAAUGGAAAAUGACAGAAAUCAAAAGGUCACGACCACUGAGAAUUCAGAGACUUCAAGAAUGAAGAUUUAGGUCAUUCCAUCAGCUAAAGAACCCUAAACAGUUGAAAGCAAAGGAUAUGCAGAAUGGGCAAUAGAAGAAGGAAUUACAAAUGUCAACUACAGCCUCAUGACCUGUUACAGAAACAAAGACCAUCAAUUGUGAGUAUUUUCUUCCUUGCUUGCUGUAUGGUGUAUAUGUGUAUUUUUUCUUCUCCUUCCCCUUUCCUAUUACUAUUUUACGUAACUUUUGUUGGAGGUUAACUUUCCAAUUUCAUAUUUAGGUAACGGUAUUCAGAUGGGACUGUGACUUGAUUUGAGGGGUUGUUAACAUUACCCAGAGAUGAGGGUAACAUGCCUGUUGGGACUUUGCAUCUUCUCAUUUGGGGGAGAGACUGAGAAUGUAUUUUUUGGCAUGAAGGAUUGUUGCACCAGGUUAACUGGAAACCUAGAGUUGUUUUCUUGUUGUGUGAAAGUCAAAUGCAUGUCUAAUGGUAACUGUGAAUGCUGAGAAGCCAACAAGGUGGACCAUGCCCUUCUGAAGCUGUUGUCUCUCAGCUCUAAGCCCACCCUUCUACACUCUGCAUUGUGAUACUGGAGCUGGGACUCCAAUCCACAUUUCAGCCAGUGUCAGCUGGUGCCAUGUUAGAUUCUGCCAGCAGGGGAUGCUAGGGGAAUAGUAGGAGGCCAGGGAGGAAGAUAGGACUGGCUACUUUCCAUCAGCUUCCUGUUUGAUUCCUGUUAAGAAUCACCUAGCUGUUCAUCCUGCAACAGCAGCUGAGUCCAGUUUGAAGUCUUUACAGAACCAGCGUGAUCACACCCGACAUGUACACCCCAGAGACAUCAGCAUGAGCCAGCCUGUGCCCCGUCAGAAGUCUGGUUUCCAACCCUGUGGGGCCCCUCCUCCAAGCUAAAGGACACCUGCACCAGCCUGACAGUACCGCCUCAUUUGAGGUCUGAGAUUCACCUUUGUGAGACCCCUCCUCUAAGUCACUAAAUUUUAGUAAUUCCAAGUUCAUCCCUUUGUUUCCCCAACCCCUAGGAAUGGUUCUAGCUGCAUCCUGCCUGCAAAUCUCAGAAUGAUUCUUUUACCCUUUCAGUUACCUAGUUAAUGUCUUUGUACCUAGUUAACAAUUCUUUCGACUAAAUUCUCUCUGCUCAAAUAA